GGGGAAUAUUGCACAAUGGGGGGAACCCUGAUGCAGCGACGCCGCGUGAGGGAAGAAGGUUUUUGGAUUGUAAACCUCUGUCCUUGGUAAAGAAGCAAGACGGUAGCCAAGGAGGAAGCCACGGCUAACUACGUGCCAGCAGCCGCGGUAAUACGUAGGUGGCAAGCGUUGUCCGGAAUUACUGGGUGUAAAGGGAGCGUAGGCGGUUAUGCAAGUUGAAUGUGAAAUCUAUCGGCUCAACUGAUAGGCUGCGUUCAAAACUGUAUAUCUUGAGUGAAGUAGAGGCAGGCGGAAUUCCUAGUGUAGCGGUGAAAUGCGUAAAUAUUAGGGGGAACACCAGUGGCGAAGGCGGCCUGCUGGGCUUUAACUGACGCUGAGGCUCGAAAGCGUGGGUAGCAAACAG
rnacentral:rRNA from 1 species